GACGAACGCUGGCGGCGUGCUUAACACAUGCAAGUCGAACGGUAAGGCCCUUCGGGGUACACGAGUGGCGAACGGGUGAGUAACACGUGGGUGAUCUGCCCUGCACUUCGGGAUAAGCCUGGGAAACUGGGUCUAAUACCGGAUAGGACCCUGGGAUGCAUGUCCUGGGGUGGAAAGCUUUUGCGGUGUGGGAUGGGCCCGCGGCCUAUCAGCUUGUUGGUGGGGUGAUGGCCUACCAAGGCGACGACGGGUAGCCGGCCUGAGAGGGUGACCGGCCACACUGGGACUGAGAUACGGCCCAGACGCCGACGGGAGGCAGCAGUGGGGAAGAUUGCACAAUGGGCGCAAGCCUGAUGCAGCGACGCCGCGUGAGGGAUGACGGCCUUCGGGUUGUAAACCUCUUUCAGCACCGACGAAGCGCAAGUGACGGUAGGUGCAGAAGAAGGACCGGCCAACUACGUGCCAGCCGCCGCCGUAA
rnacentral:rRNA from 1 species